UGCCAGCCGCCGCGGUAAUACGGAGGGGGCAAGCGUUGUUCGGAAUUACUGGGCGUAAAGGGCGCGUAGGCGGGAUGUCAAGUUAGGGGUGAAAGGCCUGGGCUCAACCUGGGAACUGCCUCUAAAACUGGCACUCUAGAGUCCGGGAGAGGAUGGCGGAAUUCCCAGUGUAGAGGUGAAAUUCGUAGAUAUUGGGAAGAACACCAGUGGCGAAGGCGGCUAACUGGCUCGGUACUGACGCUGAGAUGCGAAAGCGUGGGGAGCAAACAGGAUUAGAUA
rnacentral:rRNA from 1 species